GGAGAGGUACCCAAGUGGCUGAAGGGGACGGUUUGCUAAAUCGUUAGUGGGCAGCAAUGCCCAGCGAGGGUUCGAAUCCCUCUCUCUCCGCCA
rnacentral:tRNA from 1 species